UACGAAGGGGGCUAGCGUUGCUCGGAAUCACUGGGCGUAAAGGGUGUGUAGGCGGGCCAUUAAGUCAGGGGUGAAAUCCCGGAGCUCAACUCCGGAACUGCCUUUGAUACUAUUGGUCUUGAAUGUUGUUGAGGUGGGCGGAACGGGUCAUGUAGCGGUGAAAUGCAUAGAUAUGACCCGGAACACCGAUUGCGAAGGCAGCCCGCUAAGCAACUAUUGACGCUGAGGCACGAAAGCGUGGGGAUCAAACAGG
rnacentral:rRNA from 1 species